rnacentral:rRNA from 1 species
AUGAACGCUGGCGGCGUGCCUAAUACAUGCAAGUCGAGCGAACAGACGAGGAGCUUGCUCCUCUGACGUUAGCGGCGGACGGGUGAGUAACACGUGGAUAACCUACCUAUAAGACUGGGAUAACUUCGGGAAACCGGAGCUAAUACCGGAUAAUAUAUUGAACCGCAUGGUUCAAUAGUGAAAGACGGUUUUGCUGUCACUUAUAGAUGGAUCCGCGCCGCAUUAGCUAGUUGGUAAGGUAACGGCUUACCAAGGCAACGAUGCGUAGCCGACCUGAGAGGGGGAUGGGCCACCAUGGAACUGAGACACGGUCCAGACCCCUAGGGGAGGCAGCAGGAGGGAAUCUUCCGCAAUGGGCGAAAGCCUGAGGGAGCAACGCCGGGGGGGUGAUGAAGGUCUUCGGAUCGUAAAACUUUGUUAUUAGGGAAGAACAAAUGUGUAAGUAACUAUGCACGUUUUGACGGUACCUAAUCAGAAAGCCACGGCUAACUACGU